CCUACGGGUGGCAGCAGUGGGGAAUAUUGGGCAAUGGGCGCAAGCCUGACCCAGCAACGCCGCGUGAAGGAAGAAGGCUUUCGGGUUGUAAACUUCUUUUCUCAGGGACGAAGAAAGUGACGGUACCGGAGGAAUAAGCCACGGCUAACGACGGGCCAGCAGCCGCGGUAAUACGUAGGUGGCAAGCGUUAGUCGGAUUUAUUGGGUGUAAAGGGCGUGUAGGCGGGAGCGCAAGUCAGAUGUGAAAACUCAGGGCUCAACCCUGAGCCUGCAUUUGAAACUGUGUUUCUUGAGUGCUGGAGAGGCAAUCGGAAUGCCGUGUGUAGCGGUGAAAUGCGUAGAUAUACGGAGGAACACCAGUGGCGAAGGCGGAUUGCUGUACAGUACCUGACGCUGUGGCGCUCACGCGUGGGGAGCAAACAGGAUUAGAUACCCCUGUAGUC
rnacentral:rRNA from 1 species